GUGCCAGCAGCCGCGGUAAGACAGAGGCCUCAAGCGUUAGGCGGAAUCACUGGGCUUAAAGCGUGUGUAGGCGGACUUCUAAGUGCCUUGUGAAAUCCCACGGCUCAACCGUGGAACUGCUGGGCAUACUGGGAGUCUUGGGCCAUUCAGGGGCAACUGGAACAAGCGGUGGAGCGGUGAAAUGCGUAGAUAUCGCUUGGAACGCCGAAGGUGAAAACAGGUUGCUGGGGAUGUGCCGACGCUGAGACACGAAAGCCAGGGGAGCAAACGGGAUUAGAUACCCCCGUAGUCC
rnacentral:rRNA from 1 species